GGAGAGAGGGGAGGGGGCUGCACCGCAACAGGCUCUGGAAAUCCAGCCUCCUGUGUUGGGUGCACAGUCGGAAUUUCCUUAUUACCUGAAGCAAAUGCAAAUUCAGUAGGAGGCAGAGCUACAGGCUGUUCCACGUAGCGUUGCUGCAGCUGCAGUAGAUAAUUGUUUCCAGCAUCAAGCUGUAGAUAACCGACAACAGCACUCACCUCUGCAGGACUUGGAUUUGCUGGACAGGC